UUCUCACAAAGUAUCUCGUGCCCGUGUCCGCCGCUCGUCAAUCCUAUAGCCUCAACGCCAUGCCAGGAAAUGCAGCUGCCGCCGGCGAAUCCCCUCGUCCUCUCCCAGCUGCUGUGGUAGCUCUCGCGCACGGCCCAACAUCCACUCUUGCUACCCAUGCCAAACACACCUUUACUCGUGAUCUCCGCUGCCGCCGCCAUCCUCGCCCUCGCGCACGGCCCAACAUCCACUCUUGCUGGGGACGAGUGAGCCAUGGCUCCUUCCUCCCCUCCGUGAUUCCAUCGAGACGCGCCCGCGCUGCAGCAGUUCGCACGUGACUGACGAGAGGAGGAUAGAAGCCGCCGCGCACUCCCCAACUACCAUAUUGUUCCUCAAUCCGCAGCAGCAAUUGUUCCUCGUCGAGUUCAGGAAGAUGUGCCGAAGGUUCGAGGACAAGUUCAUGGAGAGGUUUGAUAACAUGGAGACGAGGUUGGGUGCCGGGGCGGACAGGCCCCUGGGUGUCCUCAGCUCUGGGUAGCUUCCCAUGGAGGCGGCUAUGAGUGGAGAGCACGCCAUGCCAUGGAGGCGAUUGACGGCGACGCCAUUCCGAGUUCGUCGCCGACGUUGCUGCGACCUCCUGCGGCUUCCAUCUUCGCUAAGGAGUCCAUCCACUGCAUCAUCCUGAAGCCGAUUGGAAACAUCUCCAAGGCUGCCUCACAUACACGCUCGACCACCACGGUGCUUGACAUCGACAUCAUCUUCCAAUUGCCAACUUGGGCGCUGACCUCACAUCGGCACAUGAGCUCAGCGGCGUGGAUACGGUGGCCCUGUGGCAGACGCCGGUGAAGAAGGUCGAGCAGUAGCCAUGGUCUCCACCUAUGCAAUUGAAGGUGAUGCAUGAUGGGGCUGAUCUAAGACCCACGCUGUGGCCGUCUUUCACCACGGUUGAUGGCGGUUCUGCAAGCUGGUAUUUUAGUUGGCUCUGAAGCCCCCAUGACCGCCUCCAGCUUGACGAAAAAUCAGGCACUUGAAAAGUCAUAUGCUUGCUCGGGGCUGUUGGCAUACUGGUUUUCUCUCCGAGCAGGUGGAGGUGUGCUUGAUGGUUACUAAUGAUAACGGCCACAAUGAAGUUUUCUUUACCGGGCAGACAAGUUGGAUAUCAAGAGCAAUACAAGUAAAUAUCAUGCUGUUAACAGCAGUUUAUCAGUUCUGUGGCUAUGGGACCUGUUGUCUUACAGCAUGCUGAAGGAAACAGUUGUAGUUCAGAUUUGCCUGAUUCACACACAAUCGAGCAAGGUGUGCUGUUGUUUGUUUGAGGGUCUAUUCUUACUGAUUGUUGAGUCAGUGCAAUGCAAGAUUGGCAAGGCAAUGGUAAUUGCAAGACUGAGAGAAACUGUUUUCCUGAGUGAGAGUAUUUGGCAAUGCAAGAGUGGGUUGCAGGUAACACUUCUGAAAUUGAUGCUACUGUGUGGAAAUUGCAGAGUUAAAGAUCAUAAGUGGUUCAGGCAGCUGGACAAGCUACAAAAUAAAAAACAAUUGCUUGCUCAAAUGCACAUGUCAUCUCUGAACACAGUGAUAUUGCCAAAUUGGUUUGAUUGCAGACUUUUUUUAAAACUGCUGGAAUCUAAGCUGUUCCUCUAUUCAGUUCAGUCAAGUGCUGCAGUCACAAUGUUUCAGAUGCCGAAAUUUCAUGAGGCAGCGUAAUACAUGAUGUCCAAGUACUGUUGGGAAGAAGAUGAGGCCGCCAAGAAGCGUAUGGUACAGGUGUUCUGUCCCGACCAUCUGGUGUUUGUUUAAUGAUGAAGGCAUUUGCAGUUUAUCAUCACAAAAAAGUUCCUGUUGGAUUAAUCAAGCAUGACCACUGCUUGGCUGGACAGAAACAGAACUUAUCUGAAAACGGCACCAAAUAGUUAUCAGUCAACGUGGAAGAAGUGAUUAGUCAGAGCUCACCUUUACAUUUUUUUAGUGGCUGUCAUUUACUAACUAUGCAUUUGAUUUUCAGAGUUUACUUCGUUUUAUCUGUGAGUUUAGUUCCGAACCAAAGAUUUUUGUAGUAUAGUCAUCAAAAGUUCUCAAGGUUCUGAUGAAGAAAAAGGGGAAUCUCCCUUGCAUCUGAUGGAGAAACGGCAAAAGAUCCAUGUGGGGCAGCCAAUUCAUUGGAAAUUGUAGCAAGAGGGUUGGGUUGUUAUGGGCAGGAGAUCAAGGCUUGUCAUUUAAUUAGGAGAUAAAUUUGGUAGAAUUUGGAUUUGAUUUGAAUUAGGAGAUAGAGAUUGAUUAGUUUCCAAUUCAGCUAGAGGUAAAUUAGGGAAGUUAGAGUUUGGAGUCGAUUUAGGAUUGUAAUUUUUCCUCUCUAUAUA